GACGGAGGAUGCAAGUGUUAUCCGGAAUCACUGGGCGUAAAGCGUCCGCAGGUGGCAGUUCAAGUCUGCUGUCAAAGACCGGGGCUUAACUUCGGAAAGGCAGUGGAAACUGAACAGCUAGAGUAUGGUAGGGGCAGAGGGAAUUCCUGGUGUAGCGGUGAAAUGCGUAGAGAUCAGGAAGAACAUCGGUGGCGAAGGCGCUCUGCUGGACCAUAACUGACACUCAGGGACGAAAGCUAGGGGAGCGAAUGGG
rnacentral:rRNA from 1 species